UCCCUGGUGGUCCAGUGGCUAAGACUCUGUGCCCCUAACUCAGGGGAUCUGGGUUCAAUCCCUGGUCAGGAAG
rnacentral:tRNA from 1 species